rnacentral:rRNA from 1 species
GGCUAACGCUGGCGGCGUGUCUUAGCCAUGCAAGUCGAGCGGGGAUUAUGCUUGAUCGCUUCGGUGAGACGGCAUAUGUCCUAGCGGCGGACGGGUGAGUAACGCGUGGGUAAUCUACCUCGUAGUUCGGGAUAACAGGCCGAAAGGCUUGCUAAUACCGGAUGAGUUCAUGCUUAUGCAUAUAGGCAUGAAGAAAGGGCUAGCCCGCUAUGAGAUGAGCCCGCGUCCCAUUAGCUUGUUGGUGGGGUAACGGUCUACCAAGGCAACGAUGGGUAGCCGGCCUGAGAGGGUGUACGGCCACACUGGGACUGAGACACGGCCCAGACUCCUACGGGGGGCAGCAGUAGGGAAUUUUCGGCAAUGGGUGAAAGCCUGAACCAGCCAUGCCGCGUGCGGGAUGAAGGCCCUACGGGUUGUAAACCGCUUUUCCCCGGGAAGAAUAACCCCGAUGAGUCGGGGGAUGCCGGUACCGGGGAAUAAGGGAUCGGCUAACUCCGUGCCAGCAGCCGCGGU